UCCGACUAUACAUAUAUGUAAUCAUGUAGCAAGACAAAAGUUAACUGAUUAAGUUUCAGUAAUUAUACUAUCUAAAAUAUAUGCCAAGUUAAUAGAAAUAGUUAAUGACUAACAUGCAAUUAACUAAGGAUUAUUUAGUAAAACAACUAUUAACAGUAAGCAUGAUUGAAAAUUAGUCAUAUUAGUGAGAGGAAUACUUCAAAUAAGUAUAAAGAUUCAACAAGAAUAUAUUAUAUUUGAUGGUCAAGAAAAAGUACCAAUCCAUACUAACGAGGCGAGAUAUUGAAGCCUUAAACUGAGAACAAAACGGACAUCACCUUACCUUAAUUUUCCGUCUAUUUUGGUUUCUUAUUUUUGUUGUUUUCAUUAGCGGUUGCUCACUGGAGUUUCUGGGUUCGCUGCUGCCUGGCAGUUCGCGCGAGCGCUGCCAGCAAUGGAGAAAAGAAGACACAGAAGAAGGGAAGUGAGAAGAGAAAGAAGAGGCAAGGAGAGACAGGAAUAGAGCGCUGCUUGGCGCACUUCGCCAGAGCUGCUGCUGGUCGGAGCAGCCUCCAUCUGCUACUUCUCGUUGCUGCCUGGCAGUUCGCCGGUCACUGUUGUACGGCUGGCAGGAGGCGUUGGAGAGAGUGGUAGAGGCGGAGAGGAAGACGAGAGGGAGAGAAGGUCCUGCCAGCGGCUGCUGCCAGCAAUGGUGGUUCCCGUCGAGUUGCAGACUUCACCGGAACUGCUAGCUGGUGGGAAGCGUUGGACGCUGCUGCCUAUACCUGCAAAAAAGAAGAAAAAGAGGAAAAGGGGGAAGAAGAGACGGGAGGGGAGAGAGGAGAAGAGGAGGAAGAGCUCACCGGCGAUGGUGGCUUUCGCCGGAAAGGAUGGGGAGAGAGAGAGAGAAGCGGCUGGAGAGAGGGAGGGGAGGAAGAGAGAGUGAGUUUUUUUUGGUUUGGUCUUUUAGGGUAUUAGAAUUUAGGAAGAAUAGGAGAUUAAAUCUUGACCGUAGGAUUUAAUAAAAGAUAAAGGGCUAUGAUUCGAUUUUGGAUUUAUUUUAAAGAUGGACGGAUGAGAUUAAAGAUGACAUUUAAAAAGUCAGAUUUGGUUGGAUAUGAAAUGGCUAAAAUUUCAAUAACAUUUGGCUAGAAUUGAAAUGAAAGAGGGGCUAUGAUUAGAAUAAAAUUUGAAGUGUAGUGGCUAGAAUUGAAAGAAAUUGUGAUAGAAUAGGCUAAAAUUUAAAAUUUAAGGAAAGUGUAGGAAUUACUAUUAAAAUAAUACAUAGAUUAAUUUUUUUAUAUAUAUAAUUGAAAAUCAUUUAAAUUUUAAAACAUUUGGAAUUCAUUAAUAACUUUAAAAUAUUUUAAUAAUAUUUACGAUAAUUUUAUAAAGUAAAACGUACUAAAAUAUAUAAUUUUCAAGCAAAGUCGAUUAAAAAUUCUAAAAUUUAAAAUACGUACUUAAUUGAAUAGUAUUCCUAAACAUGGUCAAAGGUCGGUCAAAAUUGGGUGUCAACAGCUGCCCCUUGGUUGAUUGAGAAUGAAGAAUGAAUUGUUAGGCAACCAACAUUGACUUAGUAGCCGAUUUUGUCUGACCAACGACAGAUGUCAGUGGGGUCAAUUGAAAUGAUAUAGAGUUGAAAAAGGGUACGACCGAGACUUUGGUUUUAAGUCUCCUUUAUAUCUCUGGUUAUACGAGAAUCAGGUCGUGUGUAGUUCUAGAUUCAAGAGCAAAUGAAACUCUUAAAAAUUAAAAGAGCGCUAAGGUAUUUGAAAGGCACGAUAUUGGCUUGAAUAGAUAAGAAUAGAGUAGCGAGAAAAGAGAGAUUGAAAGGCUAGAAGAGCGUGACAGAUAAGCAGGAAGAGCAUGAUAGAGUGAGGUUAUCAACAUUUGAGCAAGGGUUCGGAGUAUGAAAAGCGAAGAAUUGAUAGAGUCUUUGUUGUGAUAGAGGAUAGCAUGAUAAUUGUGAUCAAGGGUGAUCGAUCAUAUCUGCAAAUUCUAGAUAAAAUGUUAGCUUAUGAAUAAUGUAUAAACAAUAAUGAUAAAAUAUGAGUUCUAAAUAAAUGACAAAAGAUGAUAAGAAGCGUAUCUGUUUGAGACAUAGUGCAAGCCUUGACAGUCUUUAACUUCUUGAAGGAUUGAAACCCAUCUCUGAAGAAUAACGUCAAACUCCAAUAGAUUUGAUACUAUAAAUAUAUAAUAAUAUAGACGAAAAUAUCAGGUUGUAAGGAGAGUCUACACGUCAUAUUGUAAGACAGACGAGCAUAAACAUCAUAUUUUAAGGCGAAAAAGCCUAAACAUCCUAUUGUAAGACGGAAAAGCCUAAACAUCCUAUUGUAAGGCGGAUGAGCCUAAACAUCCUAUUGUAAGGCGGAUGAGCCUAAACAUCGUAUUGUAUGGCAGAUGAGCCUAAGUGUCGUAUUAUAAGGCAGACAAGCCUAAAUGUCGUAUUGUAAGGCAGACGAGUCUAAACAUCCUAUUGUAAGGCGGAAGAGCCUAAACAUCCUAUUGUAAGGCGGAAGAGCCUAAAAAUCCUAUUGUAAGGCGGAAGAGCCUAAAUGUCGUAUUGUAAGGCAGACGAGCCUAAGUGUCGUAUUGUAAGGCAGACGAGCCUAAGUGUCGUAUUGUAAGGCAAACGAGCCUAAAUGUCGUAUUGUAAGGCAGACGAGCCUAAAUGUCAUAUUGUAAGGUAGACGAGCCUAAACAUCCUAUUGUAAGGCGGAAGAGCCUAAACAUCCUAUUGUAAGGCAGAAGAGCCUAAAUGUCGUAUUGUAAGGCAGACGAGCCUAAAUGUCGUAUUGUAAGGCAGACGAGCCUAAAUGUCGUAUUGUAAGGCAGACGAGCCUAAAUGUUGUGUUGUGAGGCAGACGAGCCUAAAUGUAGAGACAGUAGGUCACAGUGGUGAGUUGAAUCCGAAGAAUCUUCAUGGUAGCCUGAAUGAUAGCGAAACGAUAGUUCGAGUAGCCAAGAAUUUGUCGGAGCCUUUGUGUGUAAGCAAGGGAACAGCCGUUUAGAAGGUGACUUUUUCUGUAAUCUGCAUAACUGUAACUUGUAGUAGAGUAAUUAGAGCAAAAUAAGCGGUAAAUGUAAACAUGAUGCAAUUUCCCACAUAGACCAUGAAUGUUUGCCUUAAGACCAUGCAAAAUGAUGUCUUAGUCUAUGAUGUCUAGGGCCAUGAUACGCGAAAUGUAUCCUCAGGUCAUGAAAAUGUUGUCUGCAGGCCAUGAAGAUGACGCCUUUAGACUAUGACACCUUCGGAUGAUGAUAGACAGAAAUUAAACCCUUAGGCCAUGAUAUAAUGUCCGCAGGCCAUGAGGAUGAUGCCUUUAGACUAUGACGCCUUAGGAAUAUGAUAUGCAUAAAAUAAGUCCUCAGGCCAUGACAUGAAGUCUGCAGGCCAUGAAAGAUGAUGCCUUUGGAGGAUGACGCCUUUGGGAUAUCAUUAAUGAGUAAAGAGAGCGUAUCUGUUUUUGACAUCUGUUGAUACUUAUGACUUGAUUUGAUUCGGGCACAUGUAAACUUCGAGCACGAUGCAAUCUUGAGCUUAUGCAAAUUUCGGGUACAAUGCAGUCUCAGGCACAAUGCGAUGAUGCAUUUCUUCGGGCACAUGCAAUAUCGAGCACAUCAUAUGAUGCAUUUCUUCGGGCACAUGCAACGAUGCAUUUCUUCGGGCACAUGCAGUAUUGAGCACAUGCAAUAAUGGAUUUCUUCGAGCACAAUGCAAUGAUGCAUUUCUUUGGGCGCAAUGCAAUGAUGCAUUUCUUCGGGCACAUGCAUUGUCGGGCACAUGCAAUGAUGCAUUAUCAGGCACAUGCAAUGAUGCAUUUCUUUGGGCACAUGCAUUAUCGGGCACAUGCAAUGAUGCAUAUCUUCGGGCACAAUGCAAUGAUGCAUUUCUUCGGGCACAAUGCAAUGAUGCAUUUUUUCGAGCACAAUGCAAUGAUGCAUUUUCGGGCACAUGUGUUAUCGGGCACAUGCUAUGAUACAUUUCUUGAGCAUAGUGCGAUCUCGGGCAUAAUGUAGUCAUGCAAACCUAGAUCUCAGGCAUAGUGCAACUUCAUAUUGAAUGAUGAGGGUAUGUAGUAGCUUGGACAUUUGCCUUGUUGGAGGGUCGAGUGUCAUUUGUCAGGAUCAAAAGUGGUAUGUUGAUUGCUAAAACUGCCUUUGUAUAUGUACCUGUAUUUUCUAUAUUCAAAGAAAAAUAGUUAGUUUGAAGGGGAGGUUGAUCUGUAUCCAUGAUUUGGCACAGCGUGCUUCUUUGGUGUUUGAUAGAAUGCUCUUCGGAGUAUUGUCGAAAAUUUUGAGAUUUUCUCAAAUUUUCUGCCCUAGUGUAGAGCUUCUGUUAUUCUGAUCUGUUGUAAUUGCAGCUCGACUGUUGGAUUUUUCAAGAUUCUCUUAAAAAUUUCUACCCGGUCUUGAUUUUUAGCAAUUUUGAGAUCCUCUCAAAAUUCUGCCCCAGUUGUUGAAUGUUUUUGAUGGAAAUUUUGAGUUUACUCAAAAAUUCUGCCCCAGUAUGGAGAUGCACAAGAAGAAAUCUUGAUGGAAUUUUUGAGAACCUCUCAAAAAUUCUGCCCCAGUUAUCAAUAGAAGGGGAAAAUAAAGGUUUUAUUUAUGAUAAGACAAAACCCCAUAAGAGCGCCUACGUAUCCCCUCCUAAACGGGAAUCAGGUCUGACGUAGUUCCAAAAGAUAUGGCAUAGGAGGCCUUUGUUACAGAGACAUUUGAUAUGGAGUGUUUGGAAAUGGCAUGAGAGGUGCAUGAUGCCAAGGAACUUGGUGCAGAGGUGUUUCGUAUUGAGGAGCUUGUAUAGUGGGAUAAUGCGGGUGUUAAGUAAGAUGUUGAGGUUUAAGAGCAUAUGCAUGGCGUUAGCGGAGGAUAUGGGUGAUUUGUAAAGUAGAUGUUUUUAGAAGCAUUUGAAUGGAGCUCGGUUGACUUUGAGAGGUAGAGUAAUCCGGAGGAAGAUUAUUUUGGAGAGUGAAUGUUCGUCUCCAAAGUUGGAUUGGCAGAGAGUAAAAACUUUGCCCACUCACGCAUGUCCAACAACUCUUCUUCUAACUUCUUUAUUUUCUGCUCAAGGUUUGAUACCAACUUGUCUGAAAGACACUUUUUCAAUAGUUUUGCACAUAACCUUAACAUUAGUCCCUUUCACUUUUCCUUUGCAAUUCUCAGUCGGAAGAAGAGGAAAUGACCUUUGAUCGCGUGUGAUAAACCAUGGUCUACAGAUCAACCAUUGAGAAAGGGUAAAAUAAAUAAAAGCAAAAUAAAACCCAAGUUAGAACAUUGCAUAAAUUGAGAUAUCAAACACGUUAUUUAAGAUAAACGACCUAAAUGCAAAAGAGCCUCGUUGAGCCAGAGGUAGGCCUAAGCGACACAUAAGUGAUGCACAAUAACUAAUUCAAGCCUUAUUUGUCAAUUUGGAGUUUAGAGUUAGACAAUAAAACGACUUUCAAUUAUUGAAAUAAUUUCUAUUUAUUACAUCAAUCUAGAGAUAACUAAAGGGUAAAGGAUAACACAUGGGGAAUAAAAAGAAUAAUAAAAAAAACUUCAAUUAUGUUGCUCUCCAAUGUUAGGCACAAUCUGCUUCCUCAUUUCUGGGAUAAUGUCAUAAUCGGUGUUGAGGAGGUUGCUAGCCCAUCUUCUCUCUGCCUUGAUUAAGUGACGAUCUGACUCUACGGAGAUCAAAGCAGUGAGGCCGCCUAACGGUUCAUUUGCUUCUAACUCUCGAGUUUUUUGAAUAUCUUUCCACCAAAUCUUCAAAAUAGGAUUAACUUUGACCACCAUUUGCGUGUUUGGAAAGUGAGGGUGAGCCAUGACUCUGCAAACAAAGUAACAAACGACUUCUAAACUCCAUUUUGACAAUGUUGGCUUGAUUUAAUUAUCAUGAUCACGUUGACACAUAAAUAUGCAAUUUGUCUAAGGGUGUUGGGGCCCUUUAGGCAAUAGGGUGGCUACUAAUUAUGUGGAUUGACACCAAGGGUCAAACCACCUAGGUUUAUGCAGCAUGUAUGACUAAACCAGGACUUCUAAGAGUGGCUUGACACGGACUUGAAAGGGAUUCUAUGCGAGAGGCUCGUGGCUUCGCGGUAAUAAAACUAUCCACUACGUCCACGCAUAUGCCGACUCUCUAUAAUGGGUAUUUGAAUAAUAUGGACUAGUUGUGAGAGGUGCAAAUGCACAACAUCACGAGAACAAAAUAAAAAAGGAAGAGGGUCCCAAUUAGGGGAAGUAUGAGCGGGAUGCCAAUUAUCAAAACAAUAAACAUUUAGCAUUCAAGUUGGAAAGCGGUAACAUAUAGGCAUCUUAUAAACAAUAAAUAAAUAAAUAAGCAUGAAUAAAGAAAAUUAAACAUAUAAAAAUAUAAAAACUACACAAAUAAAGAAGCAGAAUACGAGACUAAACAUGUAAGCAAAUAAGGGGAAAGGGAAGAGGUGAAACAUGAUAAUAAACAAUUAAGAAAAAAGGAAAGGGUGGAACAUGGAGAGAAGACAAUAAAUAAGGAAAAAAAAUAAGCUAAACAUGGUAAGCGCCUAACAAAUAGUGGAAUAAAGUAAACCCCACAUAAAUAAGCAGUUAACACAUAAUGGUAAGAACCUAAUAUCCCCAGCGGAGUCGCCAUUCUGUCGCGCCCCAUUUUCGCAGAAAACGGGUUUUGUGCGCGACCUAACAACUCUUUCGGGAUUUUCGAGUUUGGAGUCGCCACCUAACGGGUUAAGGCGCAUUAGGGCACCUAUCUAAACCAACUAAGUCUAACUAAGGUCAACGAGCCAGAGAUUAGGGUAAGGGUUCAAAUUACCUCGAGGGGAAGGUGUUAGGCAUCCCUCGAGGUCCACAAGCGUGGGUCCCGGCCGUAUCUCAUGCACUCUAUGUGGGGGUUACAAGUAGCAAUCAAGUUCACUUCAUUAUUAUUCAUUAAUAUGCUUGCUAAGGGAUAACAAGUAUAAAACAAUUAAGGCUAUUUUAUUAAUUUAAACAUGCGAGACUAGGUUAUAGACAAAAUUGGCAAAUAUUAAGCAAUUAAUAUGUGCAAAAGUAAAGUUUGAAAAUUGAGCAAGUUUUGAAUAUGUAAUUUUUAUUUUUAAAAAAAAUGUUUGUUUCUUCAUAGGGAUGAUGUCACGAUAUUGUUGAUCGCACUCCUCCACCAUAGAAACAAUUUUGAUUUGAGGUCGGUCUUAAAAAAACAAUAGUUCAUAUUUUUGAAAAAAUGAUUUAAAAGAUCUAGUUUACAUGUAGGCACAUAAACAUUUACAUAUAAAUACACAUAAUUCCUUUUGAAAUUAGUGGGUAGGUGGUACUUCCGGGGACGCGUCGGGUUUAAAAAUUGGAACUAGACCUCGUAGUUCCUUUGACUUUCCCACUAACGAUAGGUUAGGAGAUAGUGCUUAUAAUUUAUUUUCAAAAUAAACAAUGUCAAAAUCAAUCCAAAGUUUUAAAGAAAGAUUGAAUAAUGACUUUUUAAGAAAAUUAUGUUACAAGGUUUUGAUAUGAAAUAUUUUUAAAGCCAAGUAAUUUGUUAAAUGCACGAAAUGUUCUAAUUUAGUAUUAUUAAGAAAAAUAUUGCAUCAUGAAUGCGGAAAACAAAUAGGAUUACUAAUUAAAUAAUAUUAACUAAUUUUAGGGAGAGGGCUCAAAUAUGCACAAACAAAUUUUAUUUUUUAAGGAUAUGCUAAAAGUUUAUUUACAACCUUAUAGACAUGAUUUCUAGAUGUUAAAAAAAAACAAAGUAACAUAUAUAUGCAUGAUUUUGUAAAUGAUAUGAACAAUUUAAUACUUAGGCAUAGUUUCUACGUGACAAGACAAAUGAAAAUUUAUAAUAUAUUUUUAACAUCUAACAACCUACUAGAUUAUUAGGAUUUGAUUUUAACAUUUAAAAAAUUAAUGGAAUCUAGUUAUUAUUUUUUAAGACUUGUUAACAAAAGCGUCAAGCAAAUUGAAAAUUGAUUAGAUUAUAACACCUACUAAUAUUAAAUCUAGGAGAUUAAAGACAAACCUAUAGGCAUGAUUUCUAAAAAAUUUAAUGAACAAGUAAGCAUAUAAAUCCCCCUCCCCUAGACGACCCCCCAAAUAAAUUUAUAUAUAUUAUCUUUUAGAGUUACAAUUGUUACAACAUUCAAAUAAAUAAAAUAGGCAAAAAUAAAAUAUAUAUAUACAUUCAAAUAAACAAAUAAAUCUUUCUUCAAUUAAUCUUCAACUUGAACUUCAAGUUUGAAACCUGUCAAAGUAAUCAAAUAACUACACAAGUAAUCACACUUAUUAGUCAAGGUGAGACAAUAUGCAAUUAUUUAAUGACGAAUUCUACAUAAAAAAACAGACAAUAGCUUACACAAAUAUGUGAAUGUGAAGAUAAUAUAAAUGUUAAAAAUACUAACCAGUUAAGCAAAACAAAUUGAUUCACCUUUUACUCGAACAAAGUAGCAAAAUAGCGAAGAACACUUCAAUAUUUACCGGAAUAUUAAUGUGUUGUUAAAGUAGGAAGAGAGCAAUGAGAAAACAGAGAGAGUGAUGAGAGAAAUUUUUGAUUGAGAGUGAAUGAGUGUAUGUGUUAUGAGAGAACUUGUAAGAGUUAGUGGAUGAGUGUGUGAAUGAGUUGAUGUCAGUUGGGAGAAUGUGAAUUCAUCUCAAGAUGUGAGAGCAUUCUAAAAGAAUGAAAAUGGAGUCUUUUUUUAUAGUAGAAGAAGGGGGAACAAAAUAAAAAAUAAACAUUUAAUAGCAUCAAUUAUAAUACUAUUUUCCUUAUUUCAAAGGAGAGCAAAAUUCAGAAAAUAUUAUAUCAUCAAAAAUAAAUAAGUAAGAAUAAAAUUAGGAAGAGUAAUAUUAUCUUCCCUUAAAUAAGAAGAGCGAAAUCAGAUUUUAAAUUAAGAAUUUGUUACCAAAUAUAAACAUAUAAGAGUAAAAUAUUUUCCUUAAAUAAAGAAGAGCCAAAUAUAAUUUUACCAAAUAUAGAAGAGUAAGAAAUUAGUACAACAUUAAAUAAAACAAAACAAGUCAAUUAGUUAGUCAAUAAAGCAAUCCGUCAAACCUUUAAGCAAACAUAGAAUAUAUACUUACCAUAUAACCCAUGUAAAAAAUCUAUCUUUUAACUAAGGUAAGAGAACAAUUGAGGGUAAUCAAUACAACAAAAUUAGCCAAAAGAAUGCAAUUUAAUAAAAAGAGAUAGCGGUACAUAUAAGUCAAUUUAUAAAUAUUCCUAAUACAAAUAAUUAAAUCAAUUCUUCCCAUAAUUAAAGAAAUUUAAAGGUGAUCUGUCCAAGUUCAACAAGGAAAAAAAAUCAAAUUGAAUUACUAAUUUUAUACACAUUGAUAAACAAACAAAAUCCUCCCAUAUUAAGACACAAUAUAGUAGCAAUUAGGAUUUAAAGAACGAAGAGAAAUAUUGAUCAAAUAAACAAUUAAUUUGGUCAAUUACCAAAAUCACGAAGAUUAAUCAAGACGAACCAGCCAAUCAAAUAAGAAAAUAUUUAAACAUUCAACAUACAAAAAACAACUAUAGGCGAUUAAACAUUUUUAUUAUGAAUAGAAUGAAUUGAAAGAAGUUGUCCGACUAUACAUAUAUGUAAUCAUGUAGCAAGACAAAAGUUAACUGAUUAAGUUUCAGUAAUUAUACUAUCUAAAAUAUAUGCCAAGUUAAUAGAAAUAGUUAAUGACUAACAUGCAAUUAAGUAAGGAUUAUUUAGUAAAACAACUAUUAACAGUAAGCAUGAGUGGAAAUUAGUCAUAUUAGUGAGAGGAAUACUUCAAAUAAGUAUAAAGAUUCAACAAGAAUAUAUUAUAUUUGAUGGUCAAGAAAAAGUACCAAUCCAUACUAACGAGGCGAGAUAUUGAAGCCUUAAACUGAGAACAAAACGGACAUCACCUUACCUUGAUUUUCCGUCUAUUUCGGUUUCUUAUUGUUGUUGUUUUCAUUAGCGGAUGCUCACCGGAGUUUCUGGGGUUCGCUGCUGCCUGGCAGCUCGCGCGAGCGCUGCCAGCAAUGGAGAAAAGAAGACAUAGAAGAAGGGAAGUGAGAAGAGAAAGAAGAGGCAAGUAGAGACAGGAAUAGAGCGCUGCCUGGCGCACUUCGCCAGAGCUGCUGCUGGUCGGAGCAGCCUCCAUCUGCUACUUCUCGCUGCUGCCUGCAGUUCGCCGGUAACUGUUGUGCGGCUGGGGGGAGGCGUUGGAGAGAGUGGUGGAGGCGAAGAGGAAGACGAGAGGGAGAGAAGGUCCUGCCAGCGGCUGCUGGCUGGUGUCUUCUCCGCCGGUGGGGCUGCUGCCAGCAAUGGUGGUUCCCGUCGAGUUGCAGACUUCGCUGGAACUGCUGGCUGGUGGG
rnacentral:lncRNA from 1 species